rnacentral:tRNA from 1 species
GGGGUUGUGGCUCAGUGGCAGAGCACUUACCUAGCAUGUGUGAGGCCCUGGGUUCGGUUCUCAGAACCACA